AUCCAACUGACAAGUCCCAAAUAGGACGAAACUUGCAUCCUGGAU
rfam:Schistosoma rodhaini strain Burundi genome assembly, scaffold: SROB_scaffold0003394